GACGAACGCUGGCGGCGUGCUUAACACAUGCAAGUCGAACGGAACGGCCCUGCUUUUUUGGGGUGCUCGACUGGCGAACGGGUGAGUAACACGUGAGUUACCUGCCCCUGACUUUGGGAUAACCUCAGGACACUGGGGCUAAUACCGGCUAGGAUCUCCUGCCUCAUGGUGGGGGUUCGGAAGAUUCGGCGUUUGGUGAUGGACUCGCGGCUUAUCAGCUUGUUGAUGGGGUAGUGUCUUAUCAAGGCUUUGACCGGUAGCCGGCCUGAGAGGGUGACAGGACACACUGCAACUGGAAUACGACCCGGACUCCUACCGGAGGCAGGGGUGGGGAAGAGAGCACAAGGGGCUGAAGCCUAACGCAGCCAAGCAGUGCGCGGUAUGAGGGCAAGCGGGUUGUAAACCAAUUUCGCCUUUGACGAGACGUGAGUGACGGUAACGGGUAAAGAAGCACCGGCUAACUACGUG
rnacentral:rRNA from 1 species